AAUUCUGCACCCCCGCCGUAAAAUGCACCCCCUGUCGGGAGCGCGCUUACGUCACUCGGUUGCAUCACCCGUCUCGAAAAGUACCUAAACUCGGCUAAAAUCGCCUCUUUCGGCAUAAAAAUGUACAUAACAAGGUGAAUAAUCCAAGUUGUCUUUACUUUGGAUAUAUUAAUGGAUGGAUUAAUUGUGAUUCUUUAAUGAUUUCGCCGCCAUUGCCUUUAAUGAUUUCGUCGUCAUUCAAUCGCCUCUUUUGGCAGAAAAAUGUACAUAACAAGGUGAAUAAUCCAAGUUGUCUUUACUUUGGAUAUAUUAAUGGAUGGAUUAAUUGUGAUUCUUCAAUGAUUUCGCCGUCAUUGCCUUUAAUGAUUUCGUCGUCAUUCAGAGACAUCAAGGAGAACGAAUGUUUGCUGCUUCACUCGACGGGAUCCAAUACAUGUAUUUUAAAAAUAUGACAUUUUCUUUAACUGUAAGAAGCUCAUGGGUGGAUGGAUGAAUACAUUAAUAAAUGAAUGCAUCUGA